UGGGGAAUAUUGCACAAUGGAGGGAACUCUGAUGCAGCGACGCCGCGUGAACGAAGAAGGCUUUCGAGUCGUAAAGUUCUUUUAUAUGGGAAGAUAAUGACGGUACCAUAAGAAAAAGCCCCGGCUAACUACGUGCCAGCAGCCGCGGUAAUACGUAGGGGGCUAGCGUUGUCCGGAAUCACUGGGCGUAAAGGGUUCGCAGGCGGAAAUGCAAGUCAGGUGUAAAAGGCAGUAGCUUAACUACUGUAAGCAUUUGAAACUGCAUAUCUUGAGAAGAGUAGAGGUAAGUGGAAUUUUUAGUGUAGCGGUGAAAUGCGUAGAUAUUAAAAAGAAUACCGGUGGCGAAGGCGACUUUCUGGUCAUCAUCUGACGCUGAGGUACGAAAGCGUGGGUAGCAAACAGG
rnacentral:rRNA from 1 species